rnacentral:rRNA from 1 species
GUAGGGUGCAAGCGUUAACCGGAAUCAUUGGGCGUAAAGAGCUCGUAGGCGGUUCAGCAAGUCGGCUGUGAAAUCCCGAGGGCUUAACCUCGGAACUGCAGUCGAUACUGCUGUGACUAGAGUCCGGUAGAGGAGAAUGGAAUUCCCGGUGUAGCGGUGAAAUGCGCAGAUAUCGGGAGGAACACCAGUAGCGAAGGCGGUUCUCUGGGCCGGUACUGACGCUGAGGAGCGGAAGCGUGGGUAGCAAACAGGAUUAGAUACCCUGGUAGUCCACGCCGUAAACGUUGGACACUAGGUGUGGCGUUCCGACCAACGGGUGCCGUGCCGAAGCUAACGCAUUAAGUGUCCCGCCUGGGGAGUACGGCCGCAAGGCUA